AUCCAGCUGACGAGUCUCAAAUAGAACGAAACGAGUCUCGUGGAU
rnacentral:hammerhead_ribozyme from 1 species